CGAAGAGAGCAAGAGGAAGAUGAUGAGGCGGCAUGGAAAAGUUCAGAUUCCUUUACUGCCUGUUGUGAGAACAUCGAGUUCUCAAAAAUGGCUUGCUGAGUUUCUGCAUCAAGGCUCCCUAGAUAUUGCUCUGUUUUAGAUCAGAUCCAGAGAAGGGCGAAGAUAAUCGAAACAUCGUUCUGUCACUUCAAUACUAUUAUCCCCCCUUCUCAUCUCUAAUACAAGCUAGCUCUCUAUUUUUUUAUUGCCGCAUUCAGUUGUUCUACUCUUAAUCCUGGUUAAGGUAAGUUGAUUGAUUCAGUUAGAUCAUGGAGGUUGGUUAUGAAUGACACAGAAGCAAGAUUUACUUGCAUUGAGACAGUCACUAUCUUACUUCCAGCAGCAGGUUUAGCCUACCUUACUAUGCAUUUAUGAAGGCUUGGUUCCCUCCCUGAUCAUGAUGCAUGUAGAUGCGCAAACAAAGUUAGGUCUUGGGAUCUAUUUCAGGAACAACUGUUGCUAGCCUUGUUUGUUGCCACCAACAAUUAUGCUUAGUGCCUUUCAGGUUUCUAUUUUUCUUCUUUGCUAGGCAUAUCAUCUAAUCUAAUUUUCUUACAGUCAAGUGCAUCCCAUCAAUCAAAUCAAUAAAAGAAUAGAUGGUAUUAGGGUCCAUCAGAGAUUUCUCCCACUAAGAAAGAUCAACAAGUUAUCAGUUACUAGGAACCUGGAUGCCCUGCACACAACUGUACUGUACUAGAAUAAAUAAAUGCGGGUUUCAAGCACACAACUAAACUGUACUGUAGCUUUGAACAAAGCGAUGGAUGCGUAUUUUUGUGUAGCUCUGGACAAAGCCCAGACAUUUUUGUUGCAUUCCAUGCUUUAUAUUGAUCAAAGUGAUUAUGACAUGGCUCAUUUCUGUCGUCAUGUGUGGUUGCUAGGUUUGGUUCCCUGAUGUGCAUUGGUGGUGCGUGAUAGAGUGUGCACAGGGGAUUCUUCUUCCACUUUGAUGCCUCCGCCCCGCCCCUCCAGUGGCAUCAAAUCUUCUUUCACUCCUGCAUCUCUGCUGUGUGCAUGUAUUGCAGGAAGUGAGCACUAUCCAAUCCAUUAUUGCCGGUCCUUUUGGUAUGAACUGUCAAAAAAAUUAGGCAGGUGAAGAUCAGAGCUCAGGCAGCAGUUUCGAUAAUAAUUAUGAGGGCAAGAUAAUAUUCAGAGUAGGAAGUGUGUUUGUUGCUAAACUUGCGCAAUCAUCCCAUGACGCCAAAUACCAACACCAUGCUCUUCCAAAGAUUUGUCGCUGCCACAAAGCCAAACUCCUGAGCAUGUCGGAGGUGAGCAAGAAUAGAGAAGGAAGUGUCGAGGAGGGAGAGGGCGCUCUUCCUUUUUGGUCCACACUGCUACAAAAGUUGAAUUGGGGCAUCGAAACUUGCUUUAUGUAGUAGUAUCAUCAUGAUACCUUGCAUUUUUCCUAUUCUGUUUGAUUACUUGCCCUGUUUAUGUGACAAAGACAUGUGAUAGAUAUGAUUAGGCACAUAUUGAGCUAGCAAUUUCAUAAAUAUUGAGCAUACAGUUUCAAUUUCAACUUAGGCACACAAUCUGCUCUUUUUCUGAAGUAAGAUAUAGAGGAGGGUGAUCAUAUAUUGUCUGUUUGAUAUUUGCAUGUAGUUAUUAUUUCAUAAAGACCUAUGUUUGACCUUCUGUUAUAUUUGGACAUCUUGGUUCUAAAUUUCAUUCCAGAGAUAUGCUAAGAACAUAACUAGGGCAGUGCACAUAUAAGAUUUAUUUGUUUUUCUUUCAUGCUGGACAGUGGUAGUACCUUGCCGAUUAAACUACAUUAUUUCCUAUUAGAGAGGUGUUUAUAUUCUCUAGCUGGUUAAUGUUUUCUUUCUUGGCUGUAAUGUAUUUGGCAUUUGAGGUGAUCACAUAUAGGAGUUGUGGCAGAAAAAUGUCGUUUUAUUUCCUCUCAUGUGACUGCCCAGUUUUGGCUUCAUGCCCAGACUUGCAAGUUGUACCCGUGUCGAGAUUUGCUAUGGUUUCUUAUGUCUUUGUUUCAUGUUUAUUUCAGGUUUUGCUUUGUGGCCUCAAGUCUAGCGUAUCCUUGGUUUUAUAUUUAAUAAAUGCCUGCAGUCUGCACUCAUUUCUGUAACAUAGAAGUUUAUCCUGCUCCUCUUCAUCUUAUGCUUUGUAGUGAACUUGACACAGGUCAGUUAUCUUGCGCGCAACACCAAUCCCUUGCUUUUGGUAUGAGUUACCUUUGGCUAUGUUGUACACUAUAUCAUUAUAACUUUGCGGAUUGCACUGAGCAACACGCCUUAGGGCUUAGGGCUUACAACCAGUUUUGGUUUGGUUAUGAGAUUAAUUAUAUUAAAGAAACAUAGGUUGCAACCAAGGACCUAUUUCAUGGUAGGCUUACAACCAGUUUUGAUUUGGUUCUGAGAUUAAUUAUAUUAAAGAAACAUGGGUUGCAACCAAGGAUCUAUUUCAUGGUUUACAAAAAUGAUUAAAUACGCAAUUUUCAUCUAUCAAGGGAAGCUAUCUGCUUUUGUUUGGCUAUUCUGUACAUUUUAUUGUUUUUGACUUGGCAUAGACAUCAUUUUGGAUUUGGUACACUUCCUUGGUCUGCUGCAAACAUAGGUUGGUUAUCCCUAUUUUGUUGCUGAUGUUCAUAGUCAUUCCAUUCUUAUGAGUUGAGUUUCCUUCUACUUUCCUGUGACUUUUUCUCUCCAUCCAUUUAGGUACCUCUAGGACAGACAGUUUACCUUCAAGGUCAAGACCUUUCGUCACAUCAAUGCUCCCAAGCCCAUGUGUGUUCAUUCCGGCACCGCUGCAAUGAGGAACAGGACCGGGCAUGGAGGCUCACGCACUCCUAGGACAACCGGGGAAUGACGUUGACGGCAUAGCCGCCAUGGUGACCGUCAUGGAAGAAUGCACGCACGGUCAAAGGGAGAUUGGAAAGAAGGGACACACUAUCAGGGUCUAUGCACGAAGAGGAGAGCACAGCGGACGCCCAUGCACAAGUAAAGAACAAGCUCGCAAUUCGGGAGGCUCGACGGCAGCGGUGGGAAGGCGGUAGCGGCUGCCGCUGUUGAACGGACAAGCAGACAAGGAAGUGUAUUUAGUUUAUCAAAGUAUAUUAGUAGGUACUUAAAGAAAAAAUAGCAUUUCUUCCUAAAUGGUACAACUUGGUGAUAAGGAAAAUUUUAAUUAAUACAUGUGUGACACUAUUAGUUAGAAUAUCUCAAAAAUCAACUCAAUAGUUUAGUCUUUAAUUUCUGUCCUAUUCCAGUUCCAAAGGCAUACAUGUUAGUGCCCUUUUUCUAAUUUUGCAAACUGCUGCAUGGAAUGUUGAUAAACAAUCUUUUAAUUUCUGUUUGUAGGUA